rnacentral:lncRNA from 13 species
CAACAUUUCACAGGCCACAAUCAACAUCUGGAUCACUCUAUGUGAAGGAGAUGUGUUGUGCUGCAAAUGGUGGUCAAACCAAACCUGACUGGUUUUAUGAUCCAUGCCUCUACGUUUUUUGGAAGGUUUCUGUGACCAACAGAUGCAUAUCUGUAUUCUCAGUCAUGUGAAAUCUAUAGAUUAGGACCUAAUAAAUGUAUUUAAAUUGACUGAUUUCCUUGAUAUGAACUGUAACUCAGUAAAAUCAUUGACAUUUUUGCAUGUUGUGUUUUUAUUUUUGUUCAGUGUAUAUUGAUAUCCUUGUCCUGAGGGUGGGAAAGGGGAGUGUACUUGAAAACAUCAAACCGAUUUACAUUAUUUGCAUUUGUAACCUCACCGUAGGUAGGCAAUAACUUUUUUGGCAAUACAAUUUCUAAACUCCUGGAAGAUACAUUUUGGAACCAUUAUGGCAGCCAGUGAAUCAAGAGCGACCGCGCCAAGUGCAUGGCUACGGCAUCGGUUUGGAAGAGGAGCGAAGCGUGACGAGAGGAGAAGCGGUAAGCCCGCGGUGACAGCCAGUAAGUACCACACAUAACAGGUGACAACUCCCUGGACGAGCAGAGAUUUAACACACGCCUUGUCAGGUUUGAGUCUUUUGAAGAAGCUAGAAAGAUCCGGACAGAAAAUGAAUUAUUAAACUGAAAGGGCAUGUUCGCUUCGGCUUUUUUCCCUAGCAAAUCGACAGGAGAUACAACCCGGGAGAUGUGCUAUAAAACAAACUGCGCUCUCAAAGGAAGCCGGCGGACAGCGGUGGCUAGGUUGCCACGUCAGAAUAACCAGACAGAAAAGAAAGAGAGAGAAGGACGUGAUCAAUGGACUUGAACUCUGGAGCUCCACUGCCACAGACGGAAAGCGCUCAACAUCUUCAGUCUACUAACCACCGGUCCUGGCAACCCACAUUGCGCACACCUGGCAACCAUCAUUGGUCAACACAGUCAGGUCAUGGCCAGUCCCAACUUCAGCACCAUCGCCUCUCCUCUCACCUCUCUCCUCAAAGGUGGUGUGGAGUCCUGCAGACGAUGAGGCCUUCCGCCUACUGAAGGAGCGUUUCACCUCCGCCCCAUUGCUGAAACACCCAGAUCCUACGCUGCCCUUCGUGGUGGAAGUGAACACCUCAGAAGUGGGCGUGGGGGCCGUUCUGUCACAACAUCAAGGUAAUCCACAACAUUUUUUAUCCAUGUUUUUACUACUCUGAAAACUCCUACUACUCUGAACUAUGAUGUCGGAAACCGGGAGCUCCUAGCGGUGAAGUUGGCACUAGAAGAGUGGAGACACUGGUUGGAGGGCAACAAGGACCCGUUUCUCAUCCUCACCGACCAUUAGAACCUGGAGUACAUACGGACAGCGAGAGGUUCCUUUCCUGAGUGCGCCCAUCAUACCGCCUUCCCGAAUCGUUGUCCCCAUGCUUUGGGAUGUAGACGUGGAAAUCCGCCAGGCUUUGGAGAGGGAACCAAUUGUAUCCCUCUCUCUGGUCUCACUACCACUCUCCAGGUCGCUGAGGCACUGCUCUAGCAGGUCUUCCGGGCUCUGUGCCUUUCGGAGGACAUUGUCUCUGACCGUGGCCCCUAAUUCACAU